AACGAACACUGGCGGCGUGGAUUAGGCAUGCAAGUCGAACGAGAAAGCUCCCUUCGGGGAGUGAGUAGAGUGGCGAACGGGACAGUAACGCGUGGGAAACCUACCCUUCGGUGGGGGAUAACACUUCUAACGAAGUGCUAAUACCGCAUUCGAUCUUCGGGCUGCAUGGCCUGGGGAUGAAAGGUGGCCUCUGCUUGCAAGCUGCCGCCGAUGGAUGGUCCCGCGUCCCAUUAGCUAGUUGGUGGGGUAAUGGCCUACCAAGGCUGCGAUGGGUAGCCGACCUGAGAGGGUGACCGGCGUCACUGGGACUGAGAUACGGCCCAGACUCCUACGGGUGGCUG
rnacentral:rRNA from 1 species